AAUAAAGGUUACUAAAAUCGUGAAGUGGGGUGAAGGUUGUCUUCUUCAACCUCACGAUACAAACAGAAAACCAGCGAUAAAAACAGAGUUGUUUGAGAUUAGCUGUUCUCACUCACAACGCCACGGCUUGACCUGAGGUUUCAGAUAAUGAAUCGCAACAAUAGGCCUGCUGCUAUAAAUCCAGCACCAGCAAGCAUCAACAACCCAGAAUCCGAGAUGUUUCAGACCCUGCAACUGGAUCUGGUGGUAGGGAGGCAAGAAACUGAAAU